rnacentral:lncRNA from 1 species
GAUCUUGCAAUUGAACAUGAGUUGGAAGCCCCAGAAGAAAGGUUAUUAUCAUUGAUGGACUCGUUAGGACACAACCAAGAACCUUCCACCAUAAAAAUACUUUGGUGUGCUAAGAAACAGAAAUUGAUAAUUUUGUUUGACAGUGGAUCCACCCACAACUUUGUGGACCCACUUGUAAUUAAGAUUGUAGAAGCUCAUGCAGAAACAAUGGGUAGAUCCUAGAGGGUUAGAGUGACAAAUGGUCAACAUGUUAUGUGUAUCUAGAUUUGCAAAAAUUUUCAGUGAAAAAUGCAAGACCGUGAAUUCAUAUUUGAUUUAAGAUUGUUACAUGUCGGGGCAUAUGAUGUUGUCUUUGAAAUAGGCUGGAUAGACUCGAUUUCACCUAUUGCUUUACAUACCAAACCACUGGGAGUAUCCUUGAUCAAGGAAUCACAAAUCAUUCAUUUAUUAAGUGACACGAGUUCUGAGUCUUUAUCCAUGAUGCAAACAACAGAUGUGAUAAAGCUAUUAAAUAAAGGGCAAUGCAACUAUGUUACAUAAUUAAUGAUAAUUGAGGCAAAAUAGGAGAAACAAUCCAUUCUUGAAAUUGUAGAACCCUUGUUGGGUCGCUAUACAGAUCUUUUCCAAGAGCCCAUGGAAUUUCUCCCUGCCCGCUCAUGCGACCACCCAAUUGAGUUGCUGCCAGGAUCCAAGCCCAUUAAUCUUAGGCCGUAUCAAUAUUAUUUUGAACAAAAACUAUAAUUGAGAGUAUUGUGGCAGAAAUGCUUAAGGCUCAAACAGUAACCACCAGUGUUUCUGCCUUUGCUUCACCAAUUUUAUUAGUCAAGAAAAGAUUCCAACUGAAGACUUUGCAUUGACUAUCAAAAACUCAAUGUGAUAAUAGUUAAAAACAAAUAUUCAAUACAAGCUGGGGAGGAUCUACUGGACGAAUUACAAGAAGCUCAAUAUUUUUUCAAAUUGAAUCUAAGGUUGGGUUACCAUCAAAUUCGAAUGAAAGAAAGGGAUAACACAAAACGACGUUCAAAACUCAUCACGACCUUUGGGAGUUCAGGGUGAUAUCAUUUGGGCUCACUAAUGCUUCAGCCACGUUCAAGACCUAUGCACAAGAUAUUUGGACCGUAUCUCAGAAAGUUUGUACUUGUAUUUUUUGAUGAUAUUUUAAUUUACAGUACGAAUAUUAUGGAAUAUGUGACCCAUUUAGAAAUUGUAUUUAAUCUAUUAGGAGAUAACCAACUCUUCAUCAAAAGAUCAAAGUGCACUUUUUCUUAGAAAAUGGUAGAAUAUGUAGGCCAUAUAAUUAUGGUAAUGAGGUCAGUACAGAUAAAGAAAAAAAUAAAUCCAUGUUGCAAUUGGGCAAAUUUAAAUCUCUCAAAGAUUUGAGAGGUUUCUUGGGCAUAACAGGAUACUGUCGUAGGUUUAUUAAAAGUUUUGCUGUGAUUAGUAAACCUUUAAUCAAUCUGUUGAAAAAGGGAAAUAUCUUAUGGAAUGAGAAAGCAACUAAGGCAUUUGAGGAGCUCAAACUAGCAACGGCAAACACCCAGUCUUACAUUACCCAAUUUUCCAUUUAUUUUGUAGUAGAAGUUGAUGUUUGUGGUAGAGAAGUAGGAACAUAUUUGAGCCAAGCAUUGAUUACUAGGCAUCAUGGCUUGUCAACAUAUGAAAAAGAAUUGAUCACUUUACAUAUGAUUGUGGAUAAGUGGCAUUAUGACUUGCAACAGAGUCAUUUUGCAAUCAAAACAGAUCAUUUUGGCCUUAAGUUCCGGAGAAAUCAAAGGAUUACUAAUGCCUUACAACACAAAGGAUUUACCAAACUCAUGGGUCUUAGCUACGAAAUAUAUUAUAAAAAGAGAGUUGAAAAUGUCAUAGCGGAUACCCUCUCUAGAAAUUUUAAAGAAUCUGAGUGUGGUAAUUCAUCCCAAAUAGAUGGUUAAAGUCAUGAAAAACUACAAUAGUGACACAAAAGCACAAGAUAUGAUUACUUAACUAAGUAUUGACUUUAGUAGUCAAACUAAUAGUCAAUUUCAUUAGAGAAUUCUCAGGAACCAAGGGCAAGUAUGGGCGGGAAGUAAUGGCCAAUUAAGACCAAAGCUUAUUUCUGAGCUACAUGAAACUCCUUGGGACGGAUAUUCAGGUGUAUAUGCAAAUCAACAGAAGGUGCAAGCCUUGUUUUAUUGGCCGAGCCUAUUGCAAGAUGUGAAAAACUUUAUUAAAGAAAGCAAAAUAUGUCAAAUAAACAAAGGAGAGAAUAUACUUUAUCCUGGACUACUUCAACCUUUGCCAAUUCCCACUAAGGCAUGGGAGCAUUUAACCAAAGAUUUCAUCAAGGCUCUGCCAAAAUCAAACAGGAAGCACUCAAUUCUAGUGGUAAUUGACAAGUAUAUAAAAUUUGCACUCUUUUUUGGCUUAGUCAUCCCUACAAUGUUGCUCAAAUUUCACAGGUCUUUUUAGACAAUAUUUGCAAAUUACAUAGCCUUUCUAGUUCGAUUGUCUCAGAUAGGGAUCCUAUAUUUAUCAGUACCUUUUGGAGGGAACUAUUUAAGGGAUUGCAUAUCUAAUUAAAGCCAAGUUCAGCGUAUCAUUCCCAAACUGAUGGUCAAUCUGAUAGGCUUAAUAGAUGCUUGAAGACGUACCUUUAUAGUAUGGAGAGAUACAAACCAUCUAAGUAGAGCAAAUGGUUACCAUUAAUAGAAUUUUGGUAUAAUUCUAACUUUUAUACUUCAAUUGGAAUGACUCCUUUCAAAGCCCUUUAUGGUUAUGAUCCACCCCAGCCUACUUUUGAAUUAGUGGCUUAAUCGAAAUUGGAUGUCGUUGACUAAGUAUUGAGAGAAAGACAAUUGAUGAACAAGAUAUUGCAAGAUAAUUUGAAGAAGCCCAAAAUUGAACGAAGAACUAUGGUGACACUAAGAGGACCGAGAGGAAAUUCGAAGUCUAGGAUUGGGUCUUCUUAAAAUUGCAGCCUCAUCGCCAAACUUCAAUAGCCGUGAAAAAGAAUUUGAAGUUAUCUGCCAGAUUCUUUGGUCCUUAAAAAGUAAUUCGUAAGGUGGGGGAAGUAGCUUAUGAGCUCUGUCUUCCUAGUGACUCCAGAAUCUAUCCUGUGUUUCAUGUCUCGCAAUUGAAAAAAAAGAUAAGUGACAAGGUUAUGGCAUUUCAAGAUCCUCCCUAAUGCACUAAUGAAGGGAAAAUUUUGACAAAACCCAUAUCAAUUUUGGAAAGACGUAUGUUCAAGAAAGGUAACUGGGUAGUGACACAAGUGUUAAUCCAAUGGGCAAACCUUCUAGCAAAUGAAGCAACAUGGCAGGAUUAUGCUUUGUAAAGUCUCAGUUUUCAAAUUUUGAACCUUGAUUCGACAAUUAAGUUUCUGAAGGAGAGUGGAAUGUAAUAUGAAGGAGAAGAACAAGUGUUCUGGGCCUUUAUUUGCAAUUGAGCCGAGUAUAA